AUUGAACGCUGGCGGCAGGCCUAACACAUGCAAGUCGAGCGGAGCGGCGGACGGGUGAGUAAUGCCUAGGAAUCUGCCUGGUAGUGGGGGAUAACGUCCGGAAACGGGCGCUAAUACCGCAUCCUAUCAGAUGAGCCUAGGUCGGAUUAGCUAGUUGGUGGGGUAAAGGCAUACCAAGGCGACGAUCCGUUACUGGGCUGAGAUGAUGAUCAGUCAAACUGGAACUGAGACACGGGCCAGACUCCGACGGGAGGCAGCAGUGGGGAAUAGUGGACAAUGGGCGAAAGCCUGAUCCAGCCAUGCGGCGUGUGUGAAGAAGGUCUUCGGGUUGUAAAGCACUUUAAGUUGGGAGGCGUUACCAGCAGAAUAAGCACCGGCUAACUUCGUGCCAGCAGCCGCGGUAAUUC
rnacentral:rRNA from 1 species